rnacentral:snoRNA from 1 species
AAGACUAUACUUUCAGGGGUCAUUUCUAUAGUUUGUUACAAUGUCCAAGGACCCGGGUUCAAGCCCUUGCUCCCAUCUCCCUAUCUGCAGGG